rnacentral:rRNA from 1 species
GACGAACGCUGGCGGCGUGCUUAACACAUGCAAGUCGAACGGUGAAGCUCCAGCUUGCUGGAGUGGAUCAGUGGCGAACGGGUGAGUAACACGUGAGCAACCUACCCCUGACUCUGGAAUAAGCGCUGGAAACGGCGUCUAAUACUGGAUACGAGAAGGGUCCGCAUGGGCACUUUCUGGAAAGUUUUUCGGUUGGGGAUGGGCUCGCGGCCUAUCAGCUUGUUGGUGAGGUAAUGGCUCACCAAGGCGACGACGGGUAGCCGGCCUGAGAGGGCGACCGGCCACACUGGGACUGAGACACGGCCCAGACUCCUACGGGAGGCAGCAGUGGGGAAUAUUGCACAAUGGGCGAAAGCCUGAUGCAGCGACGCCGCGUGAGGGAUGACGGCCUUCGGGUUGUAAACCUCUUUCAGCAGGGAAGAAGCGAAAGUGACGGUACCUGCAGAAGAAGCACCGGCUAACUACGUG